UACGUAGGCAGCGAGCGUUGUUCGGAAUUACUGGGCGUAAAGAGUGUGUAGGCGGUGUUCCCAGUCUGUUGUGAAAUCUCCCGGCUCAACUGGGAGGGUGCCUCGGAAACUGCCAGGCUUGAGGCAGGGAGAGGGAUGUGGAAUUCCCGGUGUAGUGGUGAAAUGCGUAGAUAUCGGGAGGAACACCAGUGGCGAAGGCGGCAUCCUGGCCCUGUCCUGACGCUCAGGGGCGAAGGCGUGGGGAGCAAACCGG
rnacentral:rRNA from 1 species